GGGGAAUUUUCCGCAAUGGGCGAAAGCCUGACGGAGCAAUACCGCGUGAGGGAGGAAGGCUCUUGGGUCGUAAACCUCUUUUCUCAGGGAAGAACACAAUGACGGUACCUGAGGAAUAAGCAUCGGCUAACUCCGUGCCAGCAGCCGCGGUAAUACGGAGGAUGCAAGCGUUAUCCGGAAUGAUUGGGCGUAAAGCGUCCGCAGGUGGCUAUGUAAGUCUGCUGUUAAAGAGUCUAGCUCAACUAGAUAAGAGCAGUGGAAACUACAUGGCUAGAGUGCGUUCGGGGCAGAGGGAAUUCCUGGUGUAGCGGUGAAAUGCGUAGAGAUCAGGAAGAACACCGGUGGCGAGGGCGCUCUGCUAGGCCGCAACUGACACUGAGGGACGAAAGCUAGGGGAGCGAAUGGGAUUAGAUACCCCUGUAGUC
rnacentral:rRNA from 1 species